rnacentral:tRNA from 1 species
AUUAUUUUGGCAGAUUAGUGCAUUAAAUUUAGAAUUUAAUUAUGUAAUUGAGUGUUACAAAUAGU